GAAUUUUGGACAAUGGGCGCAAGCCUGAUCCAGCCAUGCCGCGUGAGUGAAGAAGGCCUUCGAGUUGUAAAGCACUUUCGACCGGGACGAAAACCCUGAGGCUAACAUCCUCAGGCUUGACGGUACCGGGAGAAGAAGCACCGGCUAACUCUGUGCCAGCAGCCGCGGUAAUGCAGAGGGUGCAAGCGUUGUUCGGAAUUAUUGGGCGUAAAGCGCGUGUAGGCGGCUUUGCAAGUCGGGUGUGAAAGCCCUCAGCUCAACUGAGGAAGUGCGCCCGAAACUGCAGAGCUUGAGUGCCGGAGAGGGUGGCGGAAUUCCCCAAGUAGAGGUGAAAUUCGUAGAUAUGGGGAGGAACACCGGUGGCGAAGGCGGCCACCUGGACGGUAACUGACGCUGAGACGCGAAAGCGUGGGGAGCAAACAGG
rnacentral:rRNA from 1 species